AGAAAACCAAAGAAAUUGCCUGGUACUUCUUUCAUCUCUGAAUUAAUUUUCUGUAUACAGCUCUAAAUUGUCAGGCCUGAUGUACCCGUUGUGUAGUUCUAUAGACUCUUUAUGUGUUCUCAAUGUCUGAGAGCUUUGUAAUUUCUGAACUGCAUGAAUUGUUCAAUCCAUGCGGUGCCCUGAUGUGGAGUAAUAAUCUGCACUUAAUUUUUGCAUCAUUUUUAAUAUCCUAUACUGUUUUGUGGUAAAGCAAUGUGUUAUAUCUCUGACAUGCUUUCCCUUGAUUUGAUUUGGUAUGAUAGUGAUAAGACAUGGCUACAUUGUACCAUGGUGUUCUCGGUUUGUACUUUUGGAAAAAAAAUUGAAUGCUGAUUUUUUUUGUCUUCUUUUUGACUAUGGCAACAAGUGCUCAUUGUGGAAUACCUCUCGUUU
rnacentral:misc_RNA from 1 species